GUCUUUGAUUGAUCGGGCUACGAAAUCCCCCUCCUAAGGGGAAGGUCGCCCGUUCGAAUCGGGCCGGGGUCACCA
rnacentral:tRNA from 1 species